UAGCUAAUGAGCCCACCUGAUGUCAAUUCCUCCUCUAACCCGCAAUCUCUGGAGAGAAAGAAGAUGGCCGCCAUGUCUUGCUUGCCCUCUGCUGCACACAGUGGGGUGUUGCUCCAGGACAUUGCUUCAGACACAAUCAAAAGAAACAAGGAAUGAUGCGGCUAGCACCAAGUUAUCAGGGACACUCAGGACACCUCUGUGCUCUGAAAUGCACUCUGCACUGCAGCAUCAUGAAAGAAAAAAUGAAACAGUGUGGAGAGAUGGAGAAGAACAAACUGGGGAAUAAGUUAGACGGAGGUCCUUAGGCAUUGAAAGAAAAUCCCUCUGCCUUGCAGCCCCAGAAAAGUGCAUAGUGGUGUGGCAGCAUCUAUGAAUACAUGGGAAAUUACCAUGUAACUGCCUCCUACAAAACUCCCGUGGGAUGCAAGCACCGGAAAUGCACGUAAUGAUGGUUGUAGUUACAGACUCGAGUCACAGCCCGUUGCUAGCAUACAAAUAAGCUGUCCUGUGGUGCUUAGCAGUUGGACACCUUAAGAAAGAAAAGUUUGGGGUUUUAAGUGAAAUCUCAGUGUUUCUUGCUGAACCCUGGGGGUUUUUCACAAUCCGAAGAAGCUAUACAGACAGAUUCCUCUUUUCUUAGGGUAAAAAAACAAGUGAAUUAAAUUGGAUGAUUUAUCUUUCGUGGAUCUGUCUUUUCUGGAACUAUAAAGCCAAAAGGUUGAACACUGUGAU